GAUGAACGCUAGCUACAGGCUUAACACAUGCAAGUCGAGGGGAAACGGCAUUUAGUGCUUGCACCGAAUGGACGUCGACCGGCGCACGGGUGAGUAACGCGUAUCCAACCUACCCAUUACUGUGGGAUAACCUGCCGAAAGGCAGACUAAUACCGCAUAGUCUUCGAUGACGGCAUCAGAUUUGAAGUAAAGAUUUAUCGGUAAUGGAUGGGGAUGCGUCUGAUUAGCUUGUUGGCGGGGUAACGGCCCACCAAGGCGACGAUCAGUAGGGGUUCUGAGAGGAAGGUCCCCCACAUUGGAACUGAGACACGGUCCAAACUCCUACGGGAGGCAGCAGUGAGGAAUAUUGGUCAAUGGACGAGAGUCUGAACCAGCCAAGUAGCGUGCAGGAUGACGGCCCUAUGGGUUGUAAACUGCUUUUGUAUGGGGAUAAAGUCAAUCACGUGUGAUUGUUUGCAGGUACCAUACGAAUAAGGACCGGCUAAUUCCGUGCCAGCAGCCGCGGUAAUACGGAAGGUCCGGGCGUUAUCCGGAUUUAUUGGGUUUAAAGGGAGCGUAGGCCGGAGAUUAAGUGUGUUGUGAAAUGUAGACGCUCAACGUCUGACUUGCAGCGCAUACUGGUUUCCUUGAGUACGCACAACGUUGGCGGAAUUCGUCAUGUAGCGGUGAAAUGCUUAGAUAUGACGAAUAAACUCCGAUUGCGAAGGCAGCUGACGGGAGCGCAACUGACGCUAAAGCUCGAAGGUGCGGGUAUCGAACAGG
rnacentral:rRNA from 1 species